CAAAUAAAAAUAUAAAUCUCGUUACCGCUUAUCAAUCAACAUAAAAUAUAAUGAAAAUUAAUCUCGAAUAAUAAUAAAUAAUUAUAUAUUAAACCGAAAAUUGGAAUGGAUAGAAGCAGCGUGUAACCAUUGAUUGGAUUGUCCCGUAGUUAAUAAUAAUAUUACACAGACAACGGGAAGAAUUUUCAACAUUUUGGAGUCUUCGUGCACAUCAGAGCCAUUAAAAAAAUAUUUUCAAGUGUGAAAAAGAACGUUAAGCGAUACGAAUCAAAAAAUUCACAGGCGUUAAAAUGACUGCAUCGUCAACGGACA